AGUAGUGCGCGAACGACUGGACGGUUAGUCCACCGUGUGUAUGUGGGAUGUGUUUUGGUUCGUAGCGAAGCGGUGGGCAGGAGGGAUGUGGCCGUGUCGGGAGAGAGGUACCACAUGCCGUGCUGGCUUGAUGUGCCGCGUGGCUGGUAGGUCUUGAGAUCUGCCAUGGUGCAGCAAUGUAAUGGCAGACGCAUGGUACAGAGCAGAGACUGUGACCCCCGCCAGGGUGUGUAGGCUGACUGCAUCGCAUGGGUUCGACGGGUUCGCGAUUUCACUCUUCAGGAGGAGGAUACAAGAAGCAGUGUGUGGGGCAAGGCGUAUAUCACUCGCAUGUCGGGGUACCGUGCAACGUCAGGUGCGUUAGCUGUCGUCAUCGUGAAUUGGAUCAUGUGCGGACGCAUGGAUGGAUCGGCGAAUGAAUGUGCACAUUUAUUCGGAAAAUGGAUGCCUUGUUCAAGGCGCAAGGCAAGAGAAAUAAUCACGCUUUCCGGGGUGAAGAGAUGUUUCUGUGUUGAGUGCCAAAUGUACACUGACUGGAGCGAAACGUCUUUUAAAAAGCUGAUGGGCACUGCAAUUGGAAAGCCAGGUACGUGCCCCCCUUGAUUCUAUGGUCGCUCCCGUCGUCGCGAGAAAAGUGCCAUAGGAUACUGUACCGUCGUAUUCCGCCAAAUUCUCGCACCUUGUAUCCUCUUCGCUUCAUUAAUGGGCCUUCCUGCGAGCAAGUGUCGAAACGAUUCAUUUGUGACGCUUCUAAAGGAUGGAAGAGACAGAAAUAUGCUUUCUCUGUUCACAGGCUACAAUGAGAUGUGGGGGUAGGCGCAGCGGCUCAUUGGAGAAAAUAUACGAUCAUAGAAGCGCCAAUGCAGGGGCACACUGGAUCUUCCUGUGACAAAGCUAUCGCUCAAGGCAUGGGAGUAACGAUACGAUGACAAUCGACACAGUGUUAUGCCAUCUGACAGUUCCAGCGAGGGUUUAUCAGUCCGCUCAAUUGUCUACUGAAUGCCCUUGUGUGGUAUGUCCACCGGAAGGCUGUGGCUGGCUUGUGUGUGAGCAGCCGCUGUAGGCGCCAGCAACUCGGGUUACGUCGAAGAGUAUCCUCCUGCUAAAUUUGGGUGCUACCGAAAAGAGCAUGUUUCCCUUUUCAACAUUGUCUAAACAUAAGAUGAUAGGGAGUGACAGCAAUGAAUGUGACGACACAGCCACUACAAGGCAGUUAUUCCUGUUGAUCUGCUGGUACCGGGAUACCGAGUGGAUUUGUGGUGACAAUAGAACAAACCUAAACGCGUGCGUUCCCACUGUCAGCACACUUCCGAUGAACUAACCUUGUAUGAUGAGUAGACAUGAAUAUGAAUGCAAUAUCCGUGACCUGUGUGAUAGGUCGUUGGACCGCUAAGUCUGCCUGACGGGCGGCCCUCUUCUUAGCUGGAAGACAGUUGCUGUCUUUGCUUUUGAAGGCUGUCAGUGCAGAGGCUCAGGCCCUUCCCGAUUUGCGAGAAUCUUUUUUAUCAGGAGGGAAAUUGUUGUUUCUCGGGGACAGUAGCGAAAGGAGUCUCUCAUUCUUCCACAUUUUGUUUGACUGUAUUCCCAGUGACCAUAGAUAUUUAGAUGGAUCAUUCAUUGAGCAAGAGAGUCGUCCAUAGUCAACAGCCUCUUCUCCUUUGUUGACAUGUUUCUCUGUCUCGAUUGCAGUGUCGUCAGGCACCCGACUCUAAACCCUAAAAGACAUUUUAGGCGUAUCAAUCGAUGUUGCAUAACGGUGGCGCCGGCACAGAGGAAGAGGACGAAACUGCAGGUGAAGCAUUGGAUGCUAAAGUUGGUGUGAAACUCUUGAAACCUCCAGGGCGAUAUUUAUCGCCACAUCGUUUAAUUCGGAUGGAACAGAGACCGGCUGGGCCCUUUGUAUCCACGGAAGAACAGAUUGUUCAAGAAGAAGAAAGCAGUUGUUGUUGCUGAAGUGGAAGAGUGGGUUUCUCCCUGUGAAGCGGUCCCUCCUGUCCCGUUCCCUUGCUUCUACCUAUGAUUCGGCUUUGUCGCCCACUGGCCGACCGCGGACACGGGAAAACCAGUGGGGGGCAAAACAACCUGAAGAGACUGCGGUGGAAAUGGUGGAGGACGGCAGGUAGCUCCAGUAUGCAGAGUCGUGUGACUGGCAAUGUUAUCAGCAGUGACACCCUACACGUAAACAGUGUUCGUGUCGCCUUUUUUGUCCGCCGGUGUUUCCACAACGCACAGUGUCCACGAUUAUACAGAGCUAGUCCCUCGUCUGCGACCAGCAAUGAGAGCGGCCUGCUGCCGUUUCGGA
rnacentral:lncRNA from 1 species